AUGUCGGGUUCCUCCAGCAUCACCACCAUGAAAAAGGUAGUUCAGCAGCUCCAACUGGAGGUCAGCCUCAACUGCGUGAAGAUUUCCCAGGCAGCUGCAGACUUGAAACAGUUCUGUCUGCAGAAUGCUCAACAUGACCCUCUGUUGACUGGAGUGUCUUCAAGCACAAAUCCCUUCAGACCCCAGAAAGUCUGCUUUUUUUGUAGUCCAAUCUUUCAAAGGUUUGUUAAGCCACUUUUCAUGAACCAGUGAAUAUUCAAAAGAACUAAAUUUGAAGCCUGCACAAAAGCGUCCCUG